GCCGGACAUGGUGGCAUGCACCUGUAGUCCCAGCUACUCAGGAGGCUGAGACAGGAGGAUCGCUUAAGUCCAGGAGUUCUAGGCUAUAAUGCGCUAUGCUGAUUGGGUGUCUGCACUGAGUUCAGCAUCAAUAUGGUGACCUCCCGGGAGCCGGGGGCCAUCAAGUUGCCUAAGGAGGGGUGAACCGGCCCAGGUUGGAAAUGGAGCAGGUCAAAACUCCUGUGCUGAUCAGUAGUGGGAUCGUGCUUGUGAAUAGCCACUGCACUCCAGCCUGGGCAACAUAGCAAGACCCCAUCUCUA
rfam:Otolemur garnettii contig085470, whole genome shotgun sequence.